rnacentral:rRNA from 1 species
AACGCGAAGAACCUUACCUAGGCUUGACAUACAAGUGACAGCGGCAGAAAUGUCGUGUUUCCGCAAGGAACACUUGAACAGGUGCUGCAUGGCUGUCGUCAGCUCGUGCCGUGAGGUGUUGGGUUAAGUCCCGCAACGAGCGCAACCCUUGUUACCAGUUGCUACCAUUUAGUUGAGCACUCUGGUGAGACCGCCUCGGAUAACGGGGAGGAAGGCGGGGAUGACGUCAAGUCCUCAUGGCCUUUAUGUCCAGGGCUACACACGUGCUACAAUGGCCGGUACAAACCGUUGCAAACCCGCGAGGGGGAGCUAAUCGGAAAAAGCCGGCCUCAGUUCGGAUUAGAGUCUGCAACUCGACUCUAUGAAGCUGGAAUCGCUAGUAAUCGCGGAUCAGAACGCCGCGGUGAAUACGUUCCCGGGCCUUGUACACACCGCUCGUC